CCACGGAUGACAGCAGCAGUCUUCUUCACCUGAUCCUCAUUUCCCCAACAGCAUCAGACGGACAGGAGGAUCAAACACAGGAGAUUGCCCAUGUUUAUUACCUUUUCAUUCAAGCUCCUCCCAACAGAUAUAUCCCUGUUCACAAAUGCAAACUGAGAUAAUGCUUUAGCACCCUUUUUGUGAUCUGAAUCUCCAUUACCAGAAAAGCUAGAGAACCACUGCAAUAUCCGUCUCCUGUUCCCUGCAUUUUCAGAUGACGUCAACCAUAAUUCCUGAGUUUAAUGGUAAAGUAUCAUGGAAAUCCAAUCUGUCCAACAUUGCUACCAAGUUUGCUCAAAUGGAUCUCGUGGAAAGGUUAGAACAAACCCAAUUCCGAUAUAUAUUCAAAGGAGCCCCGUCACUGCAGUUCUCAGGUUCGAUUAUACAUCAAAUGCUCCUGAGAAAAAGCAACUCAAAUUCUAAGGAGAUGAAGUUCCUCGUUAAUGGAGAGGAGCUUUGCUUUGGGAUGAAGGAGUUUGCCUUGGUCACAGGCCUCAAUUUUGGGAGAUUCCCUGCGGUGGAAACCAUUUUCAAUGAAGUUGAAGAAUGUCCACCAUUGGUGAUAAAAUAUUUUAAAGGUAAUAUGAUUGUUAGAACAAAAGACCUUUUCUCAAAAUUUGACUCUUGCUCUGACAAGGAAGAUACAUUGAAGU